GUUUAAGGAACCAACACUGACUCUGCAAAGAUGCGAGUUUGAUCCUUGGCCUCACUCAGUGGGUUAAGGAUCCAGCAUUGCCCCAAGCUGUGGCAUGGGUAACGGAUGCAGCUCAGAUCCAGUGUGGCCCUGACUGUGGUGUAGGCCUUGGCUGCAGCUCUGAUUUGACCCCAAGCCUGGGAACUUCCAUAUGCUGCAGGUGUGGCCAUAGAAAGAAAGAAAAAAGGAGAGAGAGAUACUCGUGUGUGCAAGGAUGACAACCAUGGACCACAUUCCCACUCUCCCCAUCUCAGAUGUGGAACCCUAGACAUCUGUAACAUCAGGCGGCCCCCGGGAAAGCGAGGGCCCUGGAUUCACCAAGAUUAAGUUUCAGCCACUUGACAGUGUAAGAGAAUAAGGAAGUUAACACUUUAUACACCUGCUUUGUGGACCAAUAUCCAUUCCUUCCUUCUACAGAAAUCUUUUUUUAUCAUUAUUUAAAAACAAUUAGGAGUUCCCAGGCUAGGGGUUGAAUCGGAGCUGUAGCCACCGGCCUACGCCAGAGCCACAGCAAUGCGGGAUCCGAGCCACGUCUGCAACCUACACCACAGCUCACGGCAACGCCAGAUCGUUAACCCACUGAGCAAGGGCAGGGACCGAACCCGCAACCUCAUGGUUCCUAGUCGGAUUCGUUAACCACUGCGCCACGACGGGAACUCCAGCAAAAGUAAUUAUUAAUUCCUUUGUAUAGCAAAGGAAUAAAAAGCAAAUGGGUGCUUAUACUAGUCAUUCUGAAAGUCACAGAUAUUUUAAUAAUAUCAGGUGAAAAAGAACACAACAACUUCAGAAUAUACAAAUAAGGAGGAGACAAAGUUAGAAUGAACUAGUACUGUGCUAGUGGUGACUGAUAGCUGGAUUCCUACCAGCGUUUAUCUCUUGUAUGAGAGUACAUUUGCUCAGGUAGAGCCAAGUAGAAGAUGGAUCGCAGGCAGAUAAUAGGUUCCAAAUGGUAAAAUAAUAACAUCCCAAACCACUGUAGGACGAAAGUAGGAAUAAGAAAAAAA
rnacentral:lncRNA from 1 species